rnacentral:rRNA from 1 species
UACGUAGGGUGCGAGCGUUGUCCGGAAUUAUUGGGCGUAAAGAGCUCGUAGGCGGUGUGUCGCGUCGGCCGUGAAAACCUGCAGCUUAACUGUGGGCUUGCGGUCGAUACGGGCAUCACUGGAGUUCGGCAGGGGAGACUGGAAUUCCUGGUGUAGCGGUGAAAUGCGCAGAUAUCAGGAGGAACACCGAUUGCGAAGGCAGCUCGCUGGAACGUUACUGACGCUGGAGACGCGAAAGCGUGGGGAGCAAACAGG